rnacentral:rRNA from 1 species
CACCAGGUUGAUUCUGCCUGACGUAGAUGCUAGUCUCUAAGAUUAAGCCAUGCAUGUUUAUGUAAUAAGGACGAACAGCUCAGUAGAACUACGAUGAUUUAGUCUGUUUGAAAAAGAUAACUACGUGAAAAUGUAGCUAAGAGAGAACAGAAUAAGACGUAGGACUAUCAGUUAGUUGGUAGUGUAAUGGACUACCAAGACGAUAACGGGUAACGGGGAAUCAGGGUUUGAUACCGGAGAGGGAGCCUGAGAGAUAGCUCCCACGUCCAUGGACGGCAGCAGGCGCGAAAAUUGCCCACUCUUUGUAGGAGGCAGUUAUGAGACGUGAAGUAGAAUAUUUCGUAAAGACGAAUAGGAUAAUUGGAGGGCGAGUUUGGUGCCAGCAGCCGCGG